rnacentral:rRNA from 1 species
UACGGAAGGGGCUAGCGUUGUUCGGAAUUACUGGGCGUAAAGCGCGCGUAGGCGGCUUGGCGAGUGAGGCGUGAAAGUCCUGGGCUCAACCUGGGGACGGCGUUUCAGACUGCCUGGCUUGAGUCCGGAAGAGGGUGGUGGAAUUCCGAGUGUAGAGGUGAAAUUCGUAGAUAUUCGGAGGAACACCGGUGGCGAAGGCGGCCACCUGGUCCGGAACUGACGCUGAAGUGCGAAAGCGUGGGGAGCAAACAGGAUUAGAAACCCUUGUAGUCC